CUUUUCCUCUGCGGAGGCUGAUCAGCUGCAGGUGGAAUCACUCACCUUCUCCCCCUUCAGGCUGCUGUUCAGCAGGUGGAAAGAACAGCAACAGGACACUGAGCUGAAAAGCAAAUGAUAUCAGCCUGGAACAUGAAAUUAAGUGUUGUAAUUUAGGGCACUACUAGACAGUAGUAGUUCUAUGUAUUGUGUGGCAAGAGGUCUCCCCUACCCUUCGGUCCUUCCCAAUACCAAGAAUAAGAGGCAUGAUAACAAAUAUUUGGGUGAAA